CAUAAAAUGAUGUUUAUUAAUAAUUAUGAUAUUUUAUUUUCACACUCUUUUACCAGUGUAUUGUAUACAAAAUCAUCAUACCUUUAGAAAUUUUAAUUUCUGUUUCCCUUUCUAAUCAUGUUGACAUAAUAAAUCAUUUUGUAUAUUUUCAUGCCUGCAAAUUGGUCCUAGGUAAAGCAGCUUCUAAUUAGACAAUCACCAACAAGCCAAUGUACAGUUUAUACCGUAAAGCGUGUACACAUGUAAAUACGAGACGCAUUAUAAAUGCUUCAUGAUAGCUGGACAAACUACAGAUUUACUGGUAAGAUAUUACUAAAUUGUAUCUUAAUAUUGCACUUUCUUCAAUCGGAAACGAUAUCAAGAAUGUUAAACAAUAUCAUGUGCUCAAUAAAAUACAGGCAAUCGACAAUAACAAAUGUUUGAUUUAUUUAUUUAUGAAACUGUGAUAGUAAACAAACCAUACAGAAAACCAUAGUACACCUAGAUGUUCGUUUACACUAAUUGAAAAACGUGGUAAUAUAUAUUUACAAGUAAUUACGAAUUUAAAGGACGUUCGCCCCUCUUGUUUUUAAUUUUGUUAGAUAUUCGGAAUCCUCUGGUUUUAAUUCAGUGCAAAUAACAUGACAAAAUAUUUUGCCCGCUUACCCCUGCUUUUCUUUUAGUAAUUAUAUUACAUAUAUGUGAAAAUCUUAUUAAAUUCUUGUUAUUUAUUAUGGUUUUUGAAAGGAAAAAGAUGUCAAUGUAAUGUAGUUUCAAUACUUUCAAUUUAACAAUCUUUUAAAAAGCUUGAUAUUUUAAAACAGAGUAGCAAACAUCCUUAACCAAUUAUCAUCAGUUAAAGUUAUACAACUGUCUUAAUGUGAAUAGAUAUAUGUACGUCAUCAUAUUGAUCGCUUGAAUGCGUAGUUCUACAUGCAAAUCUGUCAACAUGUAUAGUUUGCGAAUAUUGUUUUACAUAUACAGCCGAACUGAUGAUAGCAACUGAAAAAACAGCUAUUUCUUUGUGUUAAUGUGACCUGACAUAUUUUAAUCAUGUUUAAUUUGCUUAAUUAAAGAAAAAUGGACGAGACACAACAUGUAGUAAAUAGUUCUCAUAGGCACAAGACUUAUAAUUUAAUACGCAAGACGCGCGUUUCGUCUACAUUAGACUCAUCAGUGACGCUAGUCAUACUAAAUCAUACUUAUGACGUCUUUUCUUUGAUAAAAUAUGACUUUAUAUGUAUUUAUAUAUAUGAGUUUCUAUGUAAAGCAAAUAAUUUAGUAUAUAUUAUAUGAGCCACUAUAAUCCAGAAUGUAGAAAUAACGAAUAAAGACAUAAAAAUAAUGGUUGCGUGAAUACUCAUUGGCAGGUACAAUGUUGAUGACAGUUUUUGUGUAAACAAUUCGGGUUUUUUUUUUGAUAGAAUAUAUUUGGAAUAAUAAUGGUUGAUACAUUGUACACUGUAAAAAAAGACUGCAUUAUUCAAUACCAGUGAAAAUCAAAAUGUGUUUGUAUUUAUGAGUAGUGAAUUAUCAUUUCGUUUUGAGAGCAUUUUGAUUAUAUUAAUUACACAUGUAACAUUUUGUUAUGUGUUAGUAAAUUGAAUAAUUAUACAUGUGUUAGCGCAAUAUCUUAAAUAUUCGACUAAACGAGAUAUAUAGUUCUGUUGGAAUAGAAUCUAUAAACUAUUCAUUAUGCCUUGUAUUUCAAUUAGAGAUACGUCUGUGAUUCAUUAAUACUGUAAUAUUCCUCACUUCUGCAAUGCUUCAUUUGUCAUUGAUUGGCUUUGAAUCAUUCCCACAAUUUUAGUAUAAAACACAACUUUGUUUUGCUAAAUUGAUACAUAUAUACAUUUUUCGAAAAACAACACUUAAUAUAGCCCACAAAACGAUAAGUACAAGUUACUCCUUUCGUGUUACUUCUGAUAAGAUAACUGAUACGCUCACAAAGCAUCCGAGACAAUUGAUUGGUAAUUUUUGUAUCUAAGAUAUCACCGUUAUCACUAACAAUCGGUUAAGGCAUACCUGUUAACUAGCCGAAUACGGAAUACUGAAUUGAAUACAUUUUUUAUGUUAAAACUUAUGCAAAACCUUCAUGUGAUAGAGGAAAAUAUCAUUUAGUUCUAACGUCUACAUCAUUUGUUCCCUGGUUGAGAGUUGUCUCGUUGGCAAUCAUACAACAUCUUCUUUUUUUAUACAAACAUUAGAAAAUUCAAUAAUUAUAUAAACCAGUAAAAACUAAUGUAAAGUCAACAUAGAAGUUAUCAAAAGUACCAGGAUUAUAAUUUAGUACGCCACACGCGCGUGUCGUCUUCAUAAGUCUCAUCAGUGACGCUCAAAUCAAAAUAGUUAUAAAGCCAAAAAAGUACAAGUUGAAGAGCAUUGAGGAUCCAAAAUUCCAAAAAGUUGUGCCAAAUACCGCUAAGGAAAUAUAUGCCUGGGAUAAGAAAAUCCUUAGUUUUACGAAAAUUCAAAGUUUUGUAAACAGAAAAUUUAUAAAAAUGACCACAUUAUUGAUAUUCAUGUCAACACUGAAGUGUAAAACAGCUUUAUAGCAAAC
rnacentral:lncRNA from 1 species